rnacentral:rRNA from 1 species
UACGAAGGGUGCAAACGUUGCUCGGAAUCAUUGGGCGUAAAGCGCACGUAGGCGGCCCCAUAAGUCGGAUGUGAAAUCCCUCGGCUCAACCGAGGAAGUGCAUCCGAAACUGCGGGGCUCGAGUAUGGAAGAGGGUCGCAGAAUUCCCGGUGUAGAGGUGAAAUUCGUAGAUAUCGGGAGGAAUACCAGUGGCGAAGGCGGCGACCUGGGCCAAUACUGACGCUGAGGUGCGAAAGCGUGGGGAGCAAACAGG